CAAAGUGCUGGUAUUACAGGCAUGAGCCACUGCACCUGGCCAGAAAUGUUUUAUUUAUAUUUGUCAGCAACCAGCAAAGGUGUAAUAUUUUAAAAGAUAACAUUUAUAAUAGCAUCAGGAAUAUAAAGCAUCCAAGAAUUAAUCUAACAAAAGAUGUACAAGACCUUUAGAUGGAGAAAAUUAUAAAAAGAAAGAUGGUGCAUAGAUCCAACCCUGAAGUUCAUGUUUGCGGUUGCUUAAGGCAAAGAACCUCUGACUUCAGUAAGGUGACGUCUGAGUCUUAGGAAAACCUCAGUCAGCCUGUCCUGCCAUAAUGUGCCCCACUUGGGGAGAGUAGGGACAGUUUGGGCAACACCUCCAUUGGCUGAUCAGCUUCAGCAUUUCAGAUGUGGUGGUUUUCCCCUUGAAAGCUCCUCCUUAUUUCUAAAGUAGCUUUAUGUGGAUAGGGCACCAGGUAUUACAGUCUACCUCUUACUGGCCUGCAAAAUCAGAUAUCCUCAGAGGAACAAGGUACAUGCCAGCCUUAGAGGAAUUUAAUUUUCCAGUGACUAUACAAGAAGACACAUCAUCAUGUCUUGGAAAUCUUGCAUAGAACUUCUGCUUACUGACUGCAGCUGUAGGAGACAAGAAAACACAGGAGGGCAUUUUGCUGCCACUGCCAAACCAGUCCUGGGCUCCCUUGUGUCCAGCUAUGUACUCGCCUGAUGGAGAGCUUAAACUGCCUUUGAGCGCCCUUUGAUUUGACACCACAGAGACUGUGAAAUUCUCUGGGAGCAUGGCUGGUUGGAGAUGAGAAGUUUUUUCAUGGAAGCACCUGGUCCCCUCACCUCUAACACAGGCCACAGAGGACGAUGGGACUGAGUUUUAGAUUACUGAUGUGCAUAGAAACAGAAGCCACCUGCCACAACCUGGAUCACUGCCACUAGCAUCAGAGCAAGCGAGGAGUAGAUAUGCCUUUGUCUUGUCCUGGCAGUUCCUCAGGAUGGAUAAGUGUGUGCACCUGCCCAGCCCUGACCCUGCUGUUUGUAACUCAGUAAAUUACAUGUUGUAAUAGCAACGAAAGGAU
rnacentral:lncRNA from 1 species